rnacentral:rRNA from 1 species
UACGUAGGGAGCAAGCGUUGUCCGGAUUUAUUGGGCGUAAAGAGCUCGUAGGCGGUUUGUCGCGUCUGCUGUGAAAACUCGGGGCUUAACUCCGGGCCUGCAGUGGGUACGGGCAGACUAGAGUGCGGUAGGGGAGACUGGAAUUCUUGGUGUAGCGGUGAAAUGCGUAGAUAUCAAGAGGAACACCUGCGGCGAAGGCGGGUUGCUGGGCCGACACUGACGCUGAUGCGCGAAAGCUAGGGGAGCGAACGGG